rnacentral:tRNA from 1 species
CGUCGCCUUGACAUGGCGAAGAUCCCAGGUUCAAUUCCUGGCAAGCCCACCA